UACGUAGGGGGCAAGCGUUGUCCGGAAUCAUUGGGCGUAAAGAGCGCGUAGGCGGUCCGGUAAGUCCGCUCUGAAAGUCCGGGGCUCAACCCCGGGAGGCGGGCGGAUACUGUCGGGCUAGAGUCCGGAAGAGGCGAGUGGAAUUCCUGGUGUAGCGGUGAAAUGCGCAGAUAUCAGGAGGAACACCGAUGGCGAAGGCAGCUCGCUGGGACGGUACUGACGCUGAGGCGCGAAAGCUAGGGGAGCAAACAGG
rnacentral:rRNA from 1 species